UCAUUAAAGGGUGAAAUUUUAAUAUUUGUAAAUACUUUCUAGGUGCAUACUGCAACUCUCCUAGUGCAUGCUUUGUAGCCAGUGAUGGACAAUAUCUGAGAUUAUAUGAAGCAGUUAUUGAUGCUAAGAAACUUUUAUCUGAGCUUUCUAACCCUGAAAUUUCUAAAUAUGUUGGUGAAGUCUUUAACAUCGUCAGUCAACAAUCAACAGCCAGGCCAGGAUGCAUUAUUGCAUUAGAUCCCAUUACCAAACUUCAUGGCAGAAAAACCCAACUGCUUCAUGUUUUUCAAGAAGACUUCAUUUUGAAUAACCUUGAGAAGAAAAGCCUUGGCAAAGACAGCAUUUUAUCUAAUGCAGGCAGCUUACCUAAUGGAUUUUCUGAGAAGUUCUACCUAAUUGUAAUAGAAUGCACUCAAGACAACCGUUCACUGUUACACAUGUGGAAUUUACAUCUAAAGUCAGUUCCUGUCUCAUUAGAUGAAAAAGUAGAUACAAAAUUAUCCGAAGCAGUUUGGCCCCCAGAAGAACUUUAUUCUUCUUCUCCAGAGAAGAUCCUAUCUCCUUUUUCACAAAAGUAUCAGACUUGCAGAGCAAAUCUCCAGAGUACCAGCAAGUUGACUCUGUUUUCAGAAAUGGUUUAUAGCCAAGAAUUGCAUUUACCAGAAGGAGUUGAGAUAAUAAGUAUUAAGCCAUCAGCAGGUUUGUAAAUUUUAUGAAAAGAGACUAAUUUUCUAACACAUGAGUAUUUACCAGGUAUUUAAAAAUAGGUGCUGCAACUACCUCUUAAAUCCACACAGAACUAGAAAUGGAA
rnacentral:sRNA from 1 species